CAGUCGCCGCGGUAAAACGAGGGGGGCAAGCGUUGUUCGGAAUUAUUGGGCGUAAAGGGUGCGUAGGCGGUUUGGUAAGUCUCGUGUGAGAUCUUCGGGCUCAACUCGAAGUCUGCACGAGAAACUGCCAGGCUUGAGUGUGGGAGAGGUGAGUGGAAUUUCCGGUGUAGCGGUGAAAUGCGUAGAUAUCGGAAGGAACACCUGUGGCGAAAGCGGCUCACUGGACCAUAACUGACGCUGAGGCACGAAAGCUAGGGGAGCAAACAGGAUUAGAGACCCCCGUAGUCCCUGUCUCUUAUAC
rnacentral:rRNA from 1 species